UAAGCAUAUCAAUAAGCGGAGGAAAAGAAACCAACAGGGAUUGCCCUAGUAACGGCGAGUGAAGCGGCAAAAGCUCAGAUUUGAAAUCUCUUUGUUUUACAGAGCGAAUUGUAAUCUGGAGAAGGUUGAAUGGCUGAACAUCUGAUUUAAAUUUCUUGGAAUAGAAUAUCAUAGAGGGUGAGAAUCCCGUGAUUAUCAGAAUCUACGCCACUUAAUUCACCUUUCGACGAGUCGAGUUGUUUGGGAAUGCAGCUCUAAAUGGGUGGUAAAUUUCAUCUAAAGCUAAAUACCUGCCAGAGACCGAUAGCGAACAAGUAGAGUGAUCGAAAGAUGAAAAGCACUUUGAAAAGAGAGUUAAAAAGUACGUGAAAUUGUUGAAAGGGAAGCGCUUGCAAUUAGACUUGGUAAAUAGAUUCAGUCAACUUUUUAGUUCGACCUAUUUUCUUUCUACCAGGCCAGCAUCAGUUUGCUGGGAUUUAUAAAGUCAGUCGGAAUGUAGUAACCACUUCGGUGGUCAUGUUAUAGCCUUCUGAGUCAUAAGUUCACAUCAGACUGAGGUCCGCCCUUUGGAAGGAUGCUGGCAUAAUGAUUGUAAGCGACCCGUCUUGAA
rnacentral:rRNA from 1 species